CGAGGAAGCAGAAGAGAAAAUAUACUAUGAAAGAAAGAUCAGAGGGAUACACCGCAAUUGCGUAACACAUCCCUGCUGUGAGGUAGCUGUGACUUUCGAGAGGAGGAAAUCAACCCAGCAUGGCUUGUCAAUAGGGCAAAGAAGGUGGAGAUGAGUGAUUUCUUUAAACAUGAGCAUUUGGUCGAAGAGUUGCGAAUUGACAUUGACAAAAACUUGGAGCCUGAGCUUGAUCUUUGUCAGUGUUGUAUUUAUACGGUUCCCAAAGAUCUUCAUAGCGUAAAUGAAAAUGCCUACACUCCUAACUUGGUUUCAAUAGGUCCUCUUCACAAUGGAAAGGAAGAAUUAGCUAAAAUGGAAAAGAAAAAAAGAAAUUCUGUGAAAACUUUUUUUGAACGAAUGACAAUAGAGAAUCGAGAUGAAAUUUUAAAUUUCAUCAAGGAAAAUGAGCAAAAAGUCCGUAAUUGUUAUGCAGAGACAUCGAAACUUGGGAGCAUUGAGUAUGUAAUGAUGAUUCUAUAUGAUGCUAUAUUUAUCAUAGAGUUAUUCUUAAGGAAUACCUUUAAUUUUCAUGGAAUUGAUAUUUUACUAUCUACACCAAUGCUAUGUGUAUCCAUAUGUAGGGACUUUCUAUUACUCGAAAAUCAACUUCCAUAUUUCAUCCUCGAGGAAAUAUGGAAGUUAGCUCUUGUAGUAGGCCCUAACAUGUGUACCUUCAUGGAGCUUUCAUGUUCUUUUUUCAAUUUGUUUCCUGGUUAUGAAUUGUGUACCCCUUCGGUGGUAGUUAAACAUUUAACUGAUUGGAGAAGAACUACUAUAUUGGAAGACUACCAAAGAUCUCCGCAGAUCCAUGGAUGGAUUCGUGAUUUAUCUUGCGUAGUGAAGUUGCAUGAGUUUGGAGUGAAGUUUAAGUGUUCUCUAGAACGCGGCUUAAUGAACAUAAGAUUCCUAAAACAAAAGCAUUGAAUCUCAUGUUUUGAUGAAUGUGAGAUGCAAAUACCACAUUUACAAAUAUUCGAAGACACUGAAAGUUUACUUAGAAACGUUAUGGCUUUGGAGCAGUGUCAUUAUCCACAAGAUACUCAAGUUUGCAAUUAUGUUGUGCUACUAUACUCUCUUAUUGAUACUGAAAAAGAUGUGGACUUGCUUUUUGAAAAUGGAAUUAUUUCCAAUUAUGUUACGGGCGAGAAUGCUUCAGUAGCAGUUAUGUUUAACAAACUUGGCCUAUUUAUCAGUUGUAGCAAAUCCUCUUACUUUGACAUUUGCGAGGCACUAAAGAGUCACUGUAACAAUCCAUUGAACAAAACAAUUUUGAAAGUGUAUUUCAACAGUAUUUGGGGAGGCACACAACUGUUGCAGCAAUUAUACUACUACUGCUUACUAUCAUACAAACCAUAUGUACUAUUUUGCAAGUCGUGUUUAUGUAAUUUAUAUUUGGAAGUUGUGUUUAUGUAAUUUAUAUUUGCAAGUUGUGUGACUGUACUGUAAUUUUGUAUUGAAGCUUGUUGUCUUAAUAAUGUAAAAUGCUUGCUAUGUAUUUCAUUAUUUCUCAUUCA